UACAGAGGUCUCAAGCGUUUGUUCGGAUUCAUUGGGCGUAAAGGGUGCGUAGGCGGCGCGGUAAGUCGGGGUGUGAAAUCUCGGGGCUUAACUCCGAAACUGCAUUCGAUACUGCCGGUGCUUGAGGACUGGAGAGGAGACUGGAAUUUACGGUGUAGCGGUGAAAUGCGUAGAUAUCGUAAGGAAGACCAGUGGCGAAGGCGGGUCUCUGGACAGUUCC
rnacentral:rRNA from 1 species